rnacentral:rRNA from 1 species
GCCAACGUCCAUAUCACGUUGAAUAAACCGGUUCUCGUUCGAUCACCGAAGUUAAGCAACGUCGGGCGCGGUCAGUACUUGAAUGAGCCCGAUCCCCAAUUGUGUCUCUCUCU